rnacentral:rRNA from 1 species
UGGGGAAUAUUGCACAAUGGAGGGAACUCUGAUGCAGCGACGCCGCGUGAACGAAGAAGGCUUUCGAGUCGUAAAGUUCUUUUAUAUGGGAAGAUAAUGACGGUACCAUAAGAAAAAGCCCCGGCUAACUACGUGCCAGCAGCCGCGGUAAUACGUAGGUGGCAAGCGUUUUCCGGAAUUAUUGGGCGUAAAGCGCGCGCAGGUGGUUUAGAAAGUCUGAUGUGAAAGCCCACGGCUCAACCGUGGAGGGUCAUUGGAAACUAAUAAACUUGAGUGCAGGAGAGAAAAGUGGAAUUCCUAGUGUAGCGGUGAAAUGCGUAGAGAUUAGGAGGAACACCGGUGGCGAAAGCGGCUUUUUGGCCUGCAACUGACACUGAGGCGCGAAAGCGUGGGGAGCAAACAGG